rnacentral:rRNA from 1 species
CCUACGGGUGGCAGCCGUGGGGAAUAUUGGGCAAUGGGCGCAAGCCUGACCCAGCAACGCCGCGUGAAGGAAGAAGGCUUUCGGGUUGUAAACUUCUUUUCUCAGGGACGAAGCAAGUGACGGUACCUGAGGAAUAAGCCACGGCUAACUACGUGCCAGCAGCCGCGGUAAUACGUAGGUGGCAAGCGUUAUCCGGCUGUACUGGGUGUAAAGGGCGUGUAGGCGGGGACGCAAGUCAACUGGGAAAACCACGGGGCCCACCUGUGGCCUGCCUUUGAAACUGUGUUUCUUGAGUACUGGAGAGGCAGACGGAAUGCCUAGUGUAGCGGUGAAAUGCGUAGAUAUUAGGAGGAACACCAGUGGCGAAGGCAGUGUACCGGACAGCAACUGACGCUGAGGCACGAAAGCGUGGGGAGCAAACAGGAUUAGAUACCCCUGUAGUC